GACGCUGUCCAUCUCCAAGAGAGAGGGAUUCACUCUGAGGCCUUCAUGUCCCCACCUCUCUAGGUCCCCAGCCCUGGCCACCUCCUUUCUCCAGAGCCCCCCCAUGGCCUGCCCAAAAGUCUAGGGCGAGUCAGGAGGGGACCGCGCUCCUGGCUGGGGCAGGUGUGGAAGGCCGGGGCUCACAUGGAUCUGUCCAUCCUGAUUCUCCUUCUGCUGUUACUGCUGCUGUUACUAGGUCGAUUAAGGCGCGAAUACCGGCUAAGCACCACAGCUCACCCAAAAGGGAGAAAAAGAUACUCAGGAGAUCCAGCCAGCGGCCCACGGUCAUCAACAGAAGGAAGAGGCCACCCAUGCGCACCAGCACCGUCUGGACCUGGCCCUGUAGGCUGAAGCGAUGUUGCCGCUGCUCCUCUGUGGGACGCGGUUGUCACUGUCUCAGCCGGCACCUUCUGGAGAUCAGCUGGGGCCAGCCUGUUUCACUUCUCAGCUGCCUUCCCCGGGGAUCUUGUCAGCUUCCCUGACUGCCUUCCCACAGCCCUGCUUCUGUCUCUGGGCACCUACAGGACUUCUUACCCACCCUUAAGUUUCCCCCUGGUUGAGGACAGAGCCCUGCCAGUCGAUGGCAGGAAUCUAAGGUUCUCCCCCUUUCUGCCUGUCAGUUUGAAUCAUCCGCAGCUCAGUUGGCUUCUGCCAGUCUCUCUCUUGUUCCAUCCUGGUCCCAGCCACCUUCCCCUCUUGCCGAAGCUCACUCAUCAAGGCGCCUGAGUUUUGUUCCCGACCAAGCUCUACUGACCAUCUAAAGCGACCUAAACACACCAAUAAGAUGACACCAUCCCUCUGCUUUUAGAGAACUCUAAUGGAAGUCUUGUUUUCCACAGUC
ensembl:antisense AI507597 expressed sequence AI507597